AACUCCGAGACGCGAUGCCGACCCGCUUGAGGGGAAGCCGAUGAGCCCAUGCUCCCGAGAAAAGCCUCUAGCGAGCUCGUGUGGUGCCCGUACCCCAAACCGACUCAGGUGGACAGGUAGAGCAUACCAAGGUGAUCGAGAGAACUCUGGUCAAGGAACUCGGCAAAUUGGCCGCGUAACUUCGGGAUAAGCGGCGCCAUUGCCGGUGACGGGACUUGCUCCCCGAGCUGGCGGUGGUUGCAAAAACCAGGCCCUAGCGACUGUUUACUAAAAACACAGGAGCGUGCUAAGCCGUAAGGCGCCGUAUACGCUCUGACGCCUGCCCGGUGCCGGAAGGUUAAGGGGAAGGGUUAGCUGGACUUCGGUCCAGCGAAGCUCUGAACUUAAGCCCCGGUAAACGGCUGCGGUAACUAUAACCGUACUAAGGUAAAAGGAAGCCUCUCCGCAGGCAGAGAGGCGCUGCCCCUCCCGACGGUGACGUCGGUGAGUGCAGCUGGCUAUGUGCUGGAAAACCCGGCGUAUCCAUUCGGUACUCGUCAUCCGGUUUCUGUCACAGCUGAUCUCUAGGCUGACGACAUGGAUGGCAGUGAAAAUCCGGAAGGUGUUUGGCUGACAAGGGCCAUACCGGAAAACCAGCAGGAAAGACUCAAGACCAUAGGAUGGAUCUUGGGGUUCGUGGACGGGGAAGGUUGCUUCAGCUGCCCCAUCUACGCGUGCCGAACGAUGACUCUGAAGUGGCAAGUGCGGCCGGAGUUCGCGGUCGUACAAGGAGCGGUCAAGUAGGGAUGUGCUCGAGGAGAUGGUCCGAUUCUUCGGAUGCGGCAAGGUCUACCGCAACCGCCGGCACGACAACCACCGAGAGGAUCUCUUUCGGUACUGCGUCCAGCGGUUCGACGACCUCCGCACGAAGAUCGUUCCGUUCUUCAGAGAGAACCCUUUGCGAACUUCCAAACGGGAGAAUUUCGAGAAGUUCGCAACGGUCAUCGAGCUGAUGCAACUGCGACGGCACCUAACGGUGCCGGGGAUCAUCGAGAUCGCAGAGAUAGCUCAGACGAUGAACCACCGCAAGCCUUCGAAGGUAUUGAGAAUCCUCAGAGACCAUACGCCAGCCUCCUUCUGAUCCCACAGAAGAAGAAGAGAUGGUCCGGCCCCUGUGGCGACGCAGGGAGGUCAGCAGAAAUGACUGACCCGCCAAUCCGGAAGUCGUGCACCUGGUUGGUUAUCAAGUAACAGCUCCAGCGAAAUUCCUUGUCGGGUAAGUUCCGACCUGCACGAAAGGCGUAACGAUCUGGGCGCUGUCUCGACCAUAGGCUCGGUGAAAUUGUAGUCUCGGUGAAGAUGCCGAGUACCCGCGGAAAGACGGAAAGACCCCGUGAACCUUUACUAUAACCUGGCAUUGGAUGCUGACACACCUUGUGCAGGAUAGGAGGGAGGCUAUGAAGCCGGGACGCCAGUCUCGGUGGAGCCAUCCUUGAGAUACCUCCCUUGGUGUGUUGGUGUUCUAACCCCGUGCCGUGAGCCGGGCGGGGAACAGUGUCAGGUGGGUAGUUUGACUGGGGCGGUCGCCUCCUAAAAAGUAACGGAGGCGCCCAAAGGUUCCCUCAGCACGGUCGGAAAUCGUGCGCAGAGUGUAAACGCAUAAGGGAGCUUGACUGCGAGACCAACCGGUCAAGCAGGGACGAAAGUCGGGGUUAGUGAUCCGGCGGUAACGAGUGGAAGUGCCGUCGCUCAACGGAUAAAAGGUACUCCGGGGAUAACAGGCUUAUAGCCGCCAAGAGUUCAUAUCGACGCGGCUGUUUGGCACCUCGAUGUCGGCUCGUCGCAUCCUGGGGCUGGAGUAGGUCCCAAGGGUUGGGCUGUUCGCCCAUUAAAGCGGCACGCGAGCUGGGUUCAGAACGUCGUGAGACAGUUCGGUCCCUAUCUUCCGUGGGCGUUGGAGACUUGAGAGGAGCGGCUCCUAGUACGAGAGGACCGGAGUGGACGUACCUCUAGUGUACCGGUUGUCCUGCCAAGGGCACCGCCGGGUAGCUACGUACGGAAGAGAUAACCGCUGAAAGCAUCUAAGCGGGAAGCUCGCCUCAAGAUAAGGCCUCCCAUCCCCUUCGAGGGAGUAAGACUCCUGGUAGACGACCAGGUAAAUAGGCCACAGGUGUAAGUGCGGCGACGCAUUCAGCCGAGUGGUACUAAUAAGUCGAGGGCUUGAUGGU
rnacentral:rRNA from 1 species